UUGACCUCGAAUCAGGUAGGGAUACCCGCUGAACUUAAGCAUAUCAAUAAGCGGAGGAAAAGAAACCAACUGGGAUUACCUUAGUAACGGCGAGUGAAGCGGUAAAAGCUCAAAUUUGAAAUCUGACUUCCGACCGGAGUCCGAGUUGUAAUUUGUAGAAGAUGCUUUGGGUACUAGACCUAGCCUAAGUUCCUUGGAACAGGACUCUGUCAUAGAGGGUGAGAAUCCCGUAUGCGGCUCGAGUCUGUGCGCCCGUGUAAAGCUCUUUCGACGAGUCGAGUUGUUUGGGAAUGCAGCUCAAAAUGGGUGGUAAAUUUCAUCUAAAGCUAAAUAUGGGCCAGAGACCGAUAGCGCACAAGUAGAGUGAUCGAAAGAUGAAAAGCACUUUGGAAAGAGAGUUAAACAGUACGUGAAAUUGUUGAAAGGGAAGCGCUUGCAACCAGACCUUGGGCGUCAUUGAUCAUCCAGAGUUCUUCUCUGGUGCACUCGGCGACGCACAGGCCAGCAUCGGUUUGGGCGGUUGGAGAAAGGUCUUGGGAAAGUAGCUCCUCUCGGGGAGUGUUAUAGCCCGAGACGCAAUGCAGCCAGCCCGGAUCGAGGACCGCGCUUCGGCUAGGAUGCUGGCGUAAUGGUUGUAAGCGACCCGUCUUGAAACACGGACCAAGGAGUCUAACAUCUAUGCGAGUGUUUGGGCGUUGAAACCCAUGCGCGGAAUGAAAGUGAACGUAGGUGAGAACCCGUUAAGGGUGCAUCAUCGACCGAUCCUGAUGUCUUCGGAUGGAUUUGAGUAAGAGCAUAGCUGUUGGGAAC
rnacentral:rRNA from 1 species